rnacentral:rRNA from 1 species
AUUGAACGCUGGCGGCAGGCCUAACACAUGCAAGUCGAGCGAGCGGCGGACGGGUGAGUAAUGUCUGGGGAUCUGCCCGAUGGAGGGGGAUAACUACUGGAAACGGUUGCUAAUACCGCCUACUAUCGGAUGUUCCCAGUUGGGAUUAGCUAGUGGGUGGGGUAACGGCUCACCUAGGCGACGAUCCCUAGCUGGUCUGAGAGGAUGAUCAGCCACACUGGGAGUGAGACACGGUCAAGACUCCUACGGGAGGCAGCAGUGGGGAAUAUUGGACAAUGGGCGAAAGCCUGAUGCAGCCAUGCCGCGUGUAUGAAGAAGGCCUUAGGGUUGUAAAGUACUUUCAGCGGGGAGGCGUUACCCGCAGAAGAAGCACCGGCUAACUCCGUGCCAGCAGCCGCGGUAAUAC